AAGAUCAUUCAGUGUAAAUACCGACGAUUCCAGUCCCCAGGAAGUAGUUUCCAAAAAGCAACAGACCAUCAUUUACUUCCUUUUUCUCUCCCUAAAACCCAAACAUCUUCCACAAUUGACCUUCAAUCUGGUUCUCUCCUUCUAUACGGCCCAUCAUCCACCGCGUCUCGCUCAGGCAGUCCCCCGAGAAGGUAAGUCCGUGUCCCAUUUCUUAUGGCUUCUCUGGCUAAUUCGUGAGCCAUUAUAUUUGUUGAUCUAGGUAUAUGUUUGAAUGAAAUCUGAUGGAAGAAUCAUUUUUGACGUUGUAUGUUUUUUUAUUAACGCCCCUAUCUUUGAUCUGUCCACGCUAUCUGACUAACUUUUCUUUAUUAUUGAAACUGAAUCCCCUUCAAUAGCAACUAAUGAAAAUCCUUUUCGUUUCCCCAACAAAAUUGCUUGGAGACAUGUAUGUGCCUCUGCUGCGAACGAAGAAGCAACUCCCCUGUGUACCAUUGUUUUAGAGGCAAGAAUCUCUCCAGAAGAAUUUCUCGCUACCACCUUUGAGGCCGAUAAGGCCUGUGCCUCAUCAAAGGCCGCAUCAAAAUUUACUUUAAUGUCGGACCCAUUCGGGGGACACCAUUCAAUAGCUACGGUUUCUUUGGUCAGUUUACUAUUCUCACACUCGUCAAUUUCCUUGGCAUAUCUUGAAACCCAUGUAUCAAUAUCACGGCCCCUACUUCUCUUCCCCUCAAAUAACCCCUUAUUUCUAUCGGUCCAAAUCGUCCACAAGGAGUAGCAGAAUAAGCGACACUGCGACCCAGUAUAGUUUUUGAAUACCCAGGUAAGCCAUUCCCAACAGUUCAUGUUGAUUCAUGUUAAUAUCCAUUCGAGAUUUAAACUUAUCCAGACCUCUAUUGUAACAGGACAGUCACGUACCAGGUGGUCAACAUUCUCAGCAACCCCUCCACAUCUUGGGCAUGCAGUCUCCGUCACCAGUCUUUUAAUGGAUAAAUUAGCUAGAUUAAGGAUGAAAUUCCAGGAAACUUUCCAAAUGAAAAUCUUAAGCUAAAAUAUUGCUGUUCCAUAGGUUUUUUUGUAGAAGCUUUUCAUUUCGGUUUGUAAAUAAGUAGGAUUAGUAUUACCCUUAUGUAAUAGUUUGUAGGCACUUCGCACCGAAAAUUCCCCUUAAGAUUCUCCCCCCCACACCAUCAUAUCCUCGUGUGCUUCCAUGGCCAAGGGGAUUUUCAAAAUUCUAUCUGCAUCGUCCCUUGAGAAG
rnacentral:lncRNA from 1 species